rnacentral:tRNA from 1 species
CCCUCGAUGGUGUAGUUGGUAUCACAACAGGCUGUAAACCUGCAGGUCACCAGUUCGAAUCUGGUUCGAGGGA